AGUAUAGUGGCGUAGUGGUUUGAGUGUUGGACUACGACUCUGGAGACCAGGGUUGGAUUCCCAGCUCAGCCA